CCUUUGACGUUAGCGGCGGACGGGUGAGUAACACGUGGGUAACCUACCUAUAAGACUGGGAUAACUUCGGGAAACCGGAGCUAAUACCGGAUAAUAUUUCGAACCGCAUGGUUCGAUAGUGAAAGGUGGUUUUGCUAUCACUUAUAGAUGGACCCGCGCCGUAUUAGCUAGUUGGUAAGGUAACGGCUUACCAAGGCGACGAUACGUAGCCGACCUGAGAGGGUGAUCGGCCACACUGGAACUGAGACACGGUCCAGACUCCUACGGGAGGCAGCAGNG
rnacentral:rRNA from 1 species